AUUGAACGCUGGCGGCAGGCCUAACACAUGCAAGUCGAGCGGAUGAAGGGAGCUUGCUCCUGGAUUCAGCGGCGGACGGGUGAGUAAUGCCUAGGAAUCUGCCUGGUAGUGGGGGAUAACGUCCGGAAACGGGCGCUAAUACCGCAUACGUUCCGAGGGAGAAAGUGGGGGAUCUUCGGACCUCACGCUAUCAGAUGAGCCUAGUUCGGAUUAGCGAGUUGGUGGGGUAAAGGCCUACCAAGGCGACGAUCCGUAACUGGUCUGAGAGGAUGAUCAGUCACACUGGAACUGAGACACGGUCCAGACUCCUACGGGAGGCAGCAGUGGGGAAUAUUGGACAAUGGGCGAAAGCCUGAUCCAGCCAUGCCGCGUGUGUGAAGAAGGUCUUCGGAUUGUAAAGCACUUUAAGUUGGGAGGAAGGGCAGUAAGUUAAUACCUUGCUGUUUUGACGUUACCAACAGAAUAAGCACCGGCUAACUUCGUG
rnacentral:rRNA from 1 species